CAGUGUUCUAGCAAACCAACCUGACAUCCUUGCUUUCAUUUUUUCAUGGAUGUAGGCAAGCAAAUCCACCUUGGAUCCGCUAAAGCACUCAGGCAGACCCAAGUAAGAACCAGAACCUCCUUCACUAAAAAUUCCCAAAUUCUGCUGAAUGUUCACUUUGGCCAAAAGAUCAACGUUUUGACCAAAGGAAAUAGAAGACUUUUGAAUAUUAAUUAGCUGUCCA
rnacentral:lncRNA from 1 species